GAGGCCGCUCGCUUCCGGUCUCCGCGAGUCCUCCCCGCUGCCGCCGCCGCCGCCGCCCUCAGCCUCCCCGCCCCCCGCCCUUCCACCAUGGCCGCCUGUGUGUGGUGUGGGGAGAAGCUGGUCCUCCGUGUCCUCCUGUAGCGCUCACUGCCUCACCCUCACCCCUAGGGGCCGGAUCCAAAGGAACCUCGCUCCCCAGCCCUUCGGGCCCCAGCCAGAAAGGCUCUGGCACCCGGAGUUCGUAAUUUCUAGGACUUCCUGCCCGUCCACCCCCUGGCCUCCUCCCGUCUCUUGGCCACAGCCAUGGAGUUACAGAAGGGAAAGGGGGCAGCAGCAGCAGCUGCUUCGGGAGCAGCGGGAGGUGGAGGAGGAGCGGGAGCAGGAGCCCCAGGAGGGGGGAGGCUGCUACUUUCAACCAGUUUGGAUGCCAAGGAUGAGUUAGAGGAGAGGUUAGAAAGAUGCAUGAGCAUUGUGACAUCGAUGACUACUGGUGUCUCAGAGAGGGAGGCCAAUGAUGCCCUCAAUGCUCACGU